rnacentral:rRNA from 1 species
GGCCAUAGUGGGUGAUAGCCCUGUACGCGAAAAUCUCUUAGUCAUGAAAUCGAGUAGGACGGAGCACGAGAAACUUUGUCUGAAUAUGGGGGGACCAUCCUCCAAGGCUAAAUACUACUGACUGACCGAUAGUGAACUAGUACCGUGAGGGAAAGGCGAAAAGAACCCCGGAGAGGGGAGUGAAAUAGAUCCUGAAACCGUAUGCGUACAAGCAGUGGGAGCAGACUUUGUUCUGUGACUGCGUACCUUUUGUAUAAUGGGUCAGCGACUUAUUUUCAGUGGCGAGCUUAACCGAAUAGGGGAGGCGUAGCGAAAGCGAGUCUUAAUAGGGCGUCUAGUCGCUGGGAAUAGACCCGAAACCGGGCGAUCUAUCCAUGGGCAGGUUGAAGGUUGGGUAACACUAACUGGAGGACCGAACCGACUACCGUUGAAAAGUUAGCGGAUGACCUGUGGAUCGGAGUGAAAGGCUAAUCAAGCUCGGAGAUAGCUGGUUCUCCUCGAAAGCUAUUUAGGUAGCGCCUCAUGUAUCACUGUAGGGGGUAGAGCACUGUUUCGGCUAGGGGGUCA